GUAAGAGUGAAAUCCAGCUGGCAAGGAGUUGCAGUAAUGCAAAUGGAAUAAUAUGAGUGAAUGAAAAGGAAACAUCAACAUAAUUUGUGAACUUGCUUUGAGCUACAUUCUUGGCUAGGGUUGCUUGAGUACAUAGAAAAAUGUAAUCUUCAAGGUGAAAGCUCACUGUAAAUGGGACACUAUCAGCAGUUAUAAAGCAGCAUUGUCAUGGUUUGUUUCGUCUUGUCUCUCAGUAUUCAUAUCCUUAUGCCCCUUGCAGCUAAUUGAUUAUGCUGCCC